rnacentral:rRNA from 1 species
UAAUACGUAGGCAGCGAGCGUUGUUCGGAAUUACUGGGCGUAAAGAGUGUGUAGGCGGUGCUCUAAGUCUGGUGUGAAAUCUCCCGGCUCAACUGGGAGGGUGCGCCGGAAACUGGAGUGCUUGAGGGUGGGAGAGGUAAGCGGAAUUCCUGGUGUAGCGGUGAAAUGCGUAGAUAUCAGGAGGAACACCUGUGGUGUAGACAGCUUACUGGACCACUUCUGACGCUGAGACACGAAAGCGUGGGUAGCAAACAGGAUUAGAUACCCUGGUAGUCCACGCCCUAAACGAUGCAUACUUGGUGUGAGCCAUUCAUUUGGUUCGUGCCGGAGCUAACGCGUUAAGUAUGCCGCCUGGGGAGUACGGUCGCAAGGCUG